GUCCCUCCAGAGACAUAUGAUAAAAUUGGAACGAUAAAGAUAAGAUUAGCAUCGCCCAUGUGCAAGAAUGACACACAGAGAUCGAGAAAUGGCUCAUUGGAAAUUCAU